GGCAGUUUCUCUCAUGCGAUCUUCAAAAACGAGGAAACGUACGAGCUGUUUGACUCGCAUGGCUUCGUAACAUAGUACAAAAUGGUCGGAAGAUCAAACCAAAGGGAUCUAUUUUCAGGUUCUCAUCUCUUGAUGAACUUAACAAGUUUGUAGUCGCUAUACACGGCGAAGGAACCUACAUACAAGUUGCGCAGAUGACAGUAAACUUCCAGCAUCAAACAGACUCUUUAAGGUGUUCCGCGAACAUAGAUAUGAGCCAUGCUUGGACAAUACCACUCUACCACCGGGACAGGUUAUUCCUGCCAUCCUUGAUGACUCCACGGCGUAUGAAGAAAGUGCAUGGUUAUAUCGCCAUGCUUGGUUCUUGAGAUUGAAGACGACUGACGAUACAUGUACAUCUAAGAACAAAGAUACUAACUUUGUAACAUUGAUAUUCAUUUCUGCAUUGAUACCUUCUCGUCAAUGGCGUAUGACAGUCAAUACGUUUUAGA